CUGAGUACGACGGAGCACGUGAAAUUCCGUCGGAAUCUGGGAGGACCAUCUCCUAAGGCUAAAUACUCUCUAGUGACCGAUAGUGAACCAGUACCGUGAGGGAAAGGUGAAAAGCACCCCGGAAGGGGAGUGAAAUAGAACCUGAAACCGUGUGCUUACAAGUAGUCAGAGCCCGUUAAUGGGUGAUGGCGUGCCUUUUGUAGAAUGAACCGGCGAGUUACGAUUUGAUGCAAGGUUAAGCAGUAAAUGUGGAGCCGUAGCGAAAGCGAGUCUGAAUAGGGCGUUUAGUAUUUGGUCGUAGACCCGAAACCAGGUGAUCUACCCUUGGUCAGGUUGAAGUUCAGGUAACACUGAAUGGAGGACCGAACCGACUUACGUUGAAAAGUGAGCGGAUGAACUGAGGGUAGCGGAGAAAUUCCAAUCGAACCUGGAGAUAGCUGGUUCUCUCCGAAAUAGCUUUAGGGCUAGCCUCAAGUGAUGAUUAUUGGAGGUAGAGCACUGUUUGGACGAGGGGCCCCUCUCGGGUUACCGAAUUCAGACAAACUCCGAAUGCCAAUUAAUUUAACUUGGGAGUCAGAACAUGGGUGAUAAGGUCCGUGUUCGAAAGGGAAACAGCCCAGACCACCAGCUAAGGUCCCAAAAUAUAUGUUAAGUGGAAAAGGAUGUGGCGUUGCCCAGACAACUAGGAUGUUGGCUUAGA
rnacentral:rRNA from 1 species